rnacentral:rRNA from 1 species
CAGCCGCCGCGGUAAUACGGAGGGUGCAAGCGUUAAUCGGAAUUACUGGGCGUAAAGCGCACGCAGGCGGUCUGACAAGUCAGAUGUGAAAUCCCCGGGCUUAACCUGGGAACUGCAUUUGAAACUGUCAGGCUGGAGUCUUGUAGAGGGGGGUGGAAUUCCAGGUGUAGCGGUGAAAUGCGUAGAGAUCUGGAGGAAUACCGGUGGCGAAGGCGGCCCCCUGGACAAAGACUGACGCUCAGGUGCGAAAGCGUGGGGAGCAAACAGGAUUAGAUACCCCCGUAGUUCCUGUCUCUUAUAC